GACGAACGCUGGCGGCGUGCCUAAUACAUGCAAGUAGAACGCACAGUUUAUACCGUAGCUUGCUACACCAUAGACUGUGAGUUGCGAGCGGGUGAGUAACGCGUAGGUAACCUGCCUGGUAGCGGGGGAUAACUAUUGGAAACGAUAGCUAAUACCUCAUAAUAUUAAUUAUUGCAUGAUAAUUAAUUGAAAGGUGCAAUUUCAUCACUACCAGAUGGACCUGCGUUGUAUUAGCUAGUAGGUGAGGUAACGGCUCACCUAGGCGAAGAUACAUAGCCGAACUGGGAGGGUGAUCGGCCAAACUGGGACUGGGACACGGCCCAGACUCCUACGGGAGGGAGCAGUAGGGAAUCUUCCGCAAUGGGCGGAAGUCUGACCGGGCAACGCCGCGUGAGUGAAGAAGGUUUUCGGAUCGUAAAGCUCUGUUGUAAGGGAAGAACGGGUGUGGGAGUGGAAAGUUCACACUGUGACGGUAUCUUACCAGAAAGGGACGGCUAACUACGUG
rnacentral:rRNA from 1 species